rnacentral:rRNA from 1 species
UACGUAGGGGGCAAGCGUUAUCCGGAUUUACUGGGUGCAAAGGGAGCGUAGACGGCAGAGCAAGUCUGAAGUGAAAGCCCGCGGCCCAACUGCGGGACUGCUUUGGAAACUGCCCGGCUAGAGUGCUGGAGAGGUAAGCGGAAUUCCUAGUGUAGCGGUGAAAUGCGUAGAUAUUAGGAGGAACACCAGUGGCGAAGGCGGCUUACUGGACAGUAACUGACGUUGAGGCUCGAAAGCGUGGGGAGCAAACAGG